GCAAGUCACGUGUAAACCGGCUGCGUUGCGGCGCGCAGCACCUUCUGAAUUAAGGGGCAGUAUAUGUCUGCUACUUAUAUCAUCAAGAUCCCAGUCCAGGUAAUAGUGGCAAUCACAGUGACCCUUGUCAUUUCGGUAACCUACAUAAGACAAGUAUCCAAAUAUCUUUGACCGGAACAUUUAUGGGUAAGUGGGGAAAAGGAAAAGAAGAAACAUGAUCAAAAUUUAUUCUAUGGAAAUAAAUUUAACUAAAAUAU
rnacentral:lncRNA from 1 species